GGGGGGUGGGGAGGUGGCAGUGGAAACAAAUGAGUGGCCAAUCAGGCUUUCCAGGAACGUCUCAUCAUGACACACUGCUCUCUGCCAACUGCCAGAGCUGAGCGGAAUAAAGAUGAGUGUGUGAGGACCCUAUUGAGGGGGCACAAUGAUAGUACCCUGCCUAAUCUCGGCCAAGGGAUCGAGAGUCAGAGGGACAUUUUGUCCAUGUGAAUGUCUCUUUGCUGAGUGACAGGUUAUUGAUCAGCAUGAGAUGGGAGAACCAAACAGCAAACGGUAACACAGAAAGCAAAAGGCCCUUCAAGAAACAGAAAAGGAAAAGUCCUGUUGUCAAGACCUCCAAGGACAAGAACCAGUGAAGCCUGGGCCAUUGUGAGGAUUGAAUGAGCUAAUGCAUGCCCACGUGCCCACCUCAUGGUGGGAGCAAGCCAUUGCCUCCCCCUCAGAGGACCCAGUGGAGAGAAGGUUGACAGCUUGGCAUUCUCUUUGGAAUGGCUGUUGACUUCGCACUGCCAUCCACAGAAGAGCUCCAUAACCCCACCCAAGGGCACGGAAUGGCCUUUCCUUAAAGGUGAAGCACAACAUCAUUCUCAAGUGCCUUUGCAAAUGUAUGUGAACAGUCUUUCAAGGCUCAUAUCAAGAAGUCUCCAGUUCACACUCCUGUCCCAAUAUCCAGUGCCCGACAUUGAGCCCCUGGGGCUUUCUGAUCAAGAGUGGGGAGGACAACCAGCCAGAGUGGGCAGCUGAGGUCACCUGGAGUAAUUAAUCCUAAAGUUUACUGGUGCCUGUUCUGCUGGGGAGCAGGAAUCCAAUUACCCACAGUGACAGCAGCUUAGUCCCUGGGGAGAUACUCAUCUGCAGGGCGGCCAACAACCUGUCCACCUGAAAUCUUCCCGAGAAGCAACACCAACCUCCACCCCCUUCACUUUCUCCGCACACCCUAGCCAGGCACAGACCUCAGCUAACCAGGACAUUGCCCAGGCCACACUGCCUGGGUUGUGGUACAAAGGAGUGAAUUCUGGGAGAUUGGACCAGGACAGCUUCUAGAGGUCUCCUAACAAGAACCCAUUUCUCCUGUAGAACGAAGACCAGAACUGGUCAUUUACCCAGGCCGAGCCAG
rnacentral:lncRNA from 1 species